ncrna:unclassified sequences ROOL RNA
AACUUGAAACUAUGCAGCACUGAACCCAGUGUGAGAAAUCGAAAGCCAAGACCAUGGCUCUGGGAUAGGUCUGAAUGAUGUGGCUCAGCUUGAAGGAUACUUCAAGUCAACCAUUGGCUAUACUAUAUAUUGAAGUGUAUAGACAGCUUCUUCGCUCGAAACAGAGGUAGGAGUAUCAAGGAUCUAGUGCUAGGUACUAUGAGGAUACAGCACAACAUAGGCGUGCCAAUCGUAAUUGAAAGGUAAUGUGAAUAGCAUUGCCCUAGAAUCCUAAAACCUGAUGGCGUCGAAAACCAUGCAGUAAGUAGGAAAUUCGAAUCAAGGUGGCAGAACACAAGAAAACGUAUGUAGAAAUGCAUACGAAAUAAAUCGUCAGAAAGUUGGUGUAAGUAGCUAAAGCGUGUUCAGUUCUAAACUAGACUGGAAAGAUCCGCACAAGUAGAAUGCGAAAAACUCUAUUUUUGACUGAAUGGUUAGUGAACAUGGCAGGUAUCAAUCCUGUUACAGCUUGGGUCCCUUCGGGGACUGGUAAUAAAAGUCGAAGACCGUACAUCUUCAGGCUCAGGUUAUUAUUCUGUAUGGCUCAAUCCGUAGUAGUAUUUUAAGUAAGGGGAAGCCCUCUGUGCUGUAUAGUUUUAAG